CUACGGGGUGCAGCAGCGAGGAAUAUUGCACAAUGGGGGGAACCCUGAUGCAGCAACGCCGCGUGGAGGAUGACGCAUUUCGGUGUGUAAACUCCUUUUAUAUGUCAAGAAAAUGACGGUAGCAUAUGAAUAAGCACCGGCUAACUCCGUGCCAGCAGCCGCGGUAAUACGGAGGGUGCAAGCGUUACUCGGAAUCACUGGGCGUAAAGGACGCGUAGGCGGGUUGGAAAGUCAGGUGUGAAAUCCUACAGCUUAACUGUAGAACUGCACUUGAAACUUCUAAUCUAGAGUAUGGGAGGGGGAGAUGGAAUUAGUGGUGUAGGGGUAAAAUCCGUAGAUAUCACUAGGAAUACCUGAAGCGAAGGCGAUCUCCUGGAACAUUACUGACGCUAAGGCGUGAAAGCGUGGGGAGCAAACAGGAUUAGAUACCCUCGUAGUC
rnacentral:rRNA from 1 species